GUUUCAAUUCCUCAUAGGUAGGCUAACAUC
rfam:Desulfotomaculum sp. LMa1 LMA27_trimmed_contig_3, whole genome shotgun sequence.